UACGUAGGGUGCAAGCGUUGUCCGGAAUUAUUGGGCGUAAAGCGCGCGUAGGCGGCCAGAUAAGUCCGGUGUGAAAGUCAAAGGCUCAACCUUUGAAUGCCGCUGGAAACUGCCUGGCUUGAGUCCGGAAGGGGCGAGUGGAAUUCCUGGUGUAGCGGUGAAAUGCGCAGAUAUCAGGAGGAACACCGAUGGCGAAGGCAGGUCUCUGGGCCAUAACUGACGCUGAGAAGCGAAAGCAUGGGGAGCGAACAGG
rnacentral:rRNA from 1 species